rnacentral:ncRNA from 2 species
GACGACUUGUCGGGGAGCCCUGACACGCGCCUGGCGCGCUGGACGAGGGCUGAGAUCGGUACGGCCGAACCCGUUGAACCUGAUCAGGUUGAUGCCUGCGGAGGAAACAAGCUCGUGCAUCGC